GGGGGUAAACAUUUUCCUCUGGUGCACCAGAGGAAAGUCCGGACUGGCAAGGGCAUCCUGCUGUGGAAAGCACAGAUGGGAGUAAUCUUAUGCAGGCCGUAACAGAAAACAAACCGCCGAAAGGUAAGGGUGAAACCGCGAGGCAAGAGCUCACGACAUUAUAUGGCGACAUAUAGUGGUGACGGCACCAGGACCAGAAAGACCAUGUAUACCGGAGCGUCCGCAAGGACAGAAGGGCUGCCCGCUCUUUUCCGGGGGGUAGGUCGAGAAGAUAAAUGACAGAAUAAAACAGAAACCGGCUUACGGUUCUACCUUAAAG
rnacentral:RNase_P_RNA from 1 species